UACGGAGGGUGCAAGCGUUAUCCGGAUUUACUGGGUUUAAAGGGUGUGUAGGCGGGCUUUUAAGUCAGUGGUGAAAUCUCCGGGCUCAACCCGGAAACUGCCAUUGAUACUAUUAGUCUUGAAUUUUGUUGAGGUAGGCGGAAUAAGUCAUGUAGCGGAUGAAAUGCUUAGAUAUGACUUAGAACACCAAUUGCGAAGGCAGCUUGCUAAACAAAUAUUGACGCUGAGGCACGAAAGCGUGGGGAUCAAACAGG
rnacentral:rRNA from 1 species